UAGGGAAUCUUCGGCAAUGGACGAAAGUCUGACCGAGCAACGCCGCGUGAGUGAAGAAGGUUUUCGGAUCGUAAAACUCUGUUGUUAGAGAAGAACAAGGACGUUAGUAACUGAACGUCCCCUGACGGUAUCUAACCAGAAAGCCACGGCUAACUACGUGCCAGCAGCCGCGGUAAUACGUAGGUGGCAAGCGUUGUCCGGAUUUAUUGGGCGUAAAGCGAGCGCAGGCGGUUUCUUAAGUCUGAUGUGAAAGCCCCCGGCUCAACCAGGGAGGGUCAUUGGAAACUGGGAGACUUGAGUGCAGAAGAGGAGAGUGGAAUUCCAUGUGUAGCGGUGAAAUGCGUAGAUAUAUGGAGGAACACCAGUGGCGAAGGCGGCUCUCUAGUCUGUAACUGACGCUGAGGCUCGAAAGCGUGGGGAGCAAACAGG
rnacentral:rRNA from 1 species